AAAAAAUGAUAGGAAAAAUUCAAACAUGAAUUUUUGUAUAAAAAAUGAAAAAAUUAGAUGAAAUUCGACGAACAUUUACAGCUUCAGAAGUACGGUGUACCACUAUUAGGCUUAUGUACCUAUUUUGACAUGCGAAACUAUACAUAACUAUUAGUUUCACUAGUCGUGUAAUAAUUUAUUUAUUUAUUCUCAUUUUCUAAAUGGGUAAGGCCUUGAUGUCCCCCAGGUUGUAAUCCCGUUUAUUCUUUUAUUUUAUUCACUAGCUUGUUGAGUUUUUUUUUUUUUUGGGGCUAACAUAUGCGACUAAGUUGAGGUUAAUAAUUGAUGUAACCAAUAUUAUCAUUAUCAUUAGUUCUUUUCUUACCAUGCACGAUCAUCUAUAUUAUUAUCAUUUUUUUUAAAGAAUUUAGUUCUCCUACGCAAUUAAGAGAAUUUCGUAAUUAAUUAAUAGCUUAUGAUUAUUAAAUAUAUAAAUGGAUCAUCUUGCAAUAUUUAGUGGUCUCUUGAAAGUCACUUUCUUGAUCCUCCACUUGAUGAGGAAAGCAAAUGGGUUGCUCCUUAGGGGGUCAUAUUCAUAUUAUAUACGUGAAGUUUACUGAAGACCCUGAGGCAGAUUCAAUGUCAGCCUUAUAAUCAAUGCCCUUUGCAAUCACCCAUUUACUUGACAUUAAUUUCAAACGACCACCAAAUUAUUCAAAUCCCCAUUCUCUGUGUAUGAAAUUACCGUAUAUUAACUACAAGAUACAAGAUCAUGAAUAUUCAUCAUUAAUCGUUGCAUAUUAAAAGCCCUAGCAUAUGAUGAUGCUGGCUAUUUAUGCAUGGGUGAGAAUUCAAUUUUAUUGAAUUAUGUUAAAAAGUAAAAGAAAAAAAUAGAAGGUCGAAAGUUGAGCUAUAUAUAUUUAUUGACAAAUAAUAGGAAGAGAGAAAACCUCUCAUAUUGGUCAAAAUUAGAGGAAAAAAAAUCCCGCUUUUGAAGGUUCAACCAAAAAUUUGAAGUUUUUAGUUUUCUUUUUAUUUGAUUAUAUGCGUUUCAAGUUUUCAACUGUUAUUUAUUCCCUUAACUAAAAAAUAAAUAAAUAAAUAAAGCCUGCUACUUAUUCCUUUUCAAGAAGCUCUCUCAUUAAUUUCUGAAAAGUUUCCAACUCCAAGGAACUCCAAUGGUGAUGGAGACUAACUAGUGGCAAUCAUCAUUGUCUGAGAAUGUCUUAAUGGUUUAUUAAUUUUGUUAAAAAGAUAACAUGACUGUGUAUUAAAGUCUCUUAAGAUAUCAUUAAAAUACUCUUUAAAUGAGGAUUUUAUUAUUUAUUUAAAAAAUUACACUAUUAAUAAAAAUAUUAAAAUUUCUCGAAUAAAAUUAUUCUUCUACCUUUAUAAUAUUAAAGAACGAUUUCUCUUUCAUCGAAUAAUAUAAACAUAUUUUUUAUACUAUAAUUAUUAAAGAGAGACAAAUAUUAUAACUACAUUAUUAAAAAUUUAGAGGUAGUUAAAUUUAGAGAAAGAAGAAUUUCAUUAAAAUUAUGUAAACUAAUUAUUUAUAUUUGAAUAAUCUUUUAAGAGAGAGGCCUUUUUUUAUUAUUCUAUUUAUCACAUAAACAAAUAAAUAAACAUUUAAAGAAAUAAAAUUAAAUGAGUUUUUUUGUUAAUACUCUUAAUACGUAGUUAUAUGAGUAAGAUUGUGACUCCACUUUUUGUAAUAAUUUGAGAAAUUUUAUUCACUAAAGUAGCGCAUGCAUGGUAAUUAGUGGAUACAACAAUACUCUUUUAUGUAAUCAAUAUUAUGAGCCAUGCAUGACACUAAAUAUGAGGAAAAAAAUGUCUAUAGUGCAUUAAUGCUAUUUCCAAAUCCAUUUGAGAAUUGGAAAUCAAAUUACUCGAGUAAAUCAAGACUGAUUGGAUACAAAAAAAGAAAAGAGUAUUCCUAAGUCCAGAUCACCAAUAAACAACAACACACUGGUUGCCCUAAUAUUCUGAGUUAAUCAGUAAAGCACCCUCUAGCUAGACAGGUAAUGAAAAUGCAAACAAGUAAACAGUUGCCAUGAUAACUAAUUUUGUUGAGAACUUUGAAAGCCACAAAAACAGGAUAUCAGAAAAGGUGAUUGUGACAAUUUCAGAAAUUUCAUCCUCAUGAUCGAAGAACUGGUAGAGUCAGUUUAAUCCAGCAUGUCCAAUUGCCCAUCUUGUUAAUUAAUUACUGUCCCCAUUCUUAAGAUAUUUAUUUCUUGCUAUUUUGUCUACAUAACUAGUAGUUCCUCUUUCUUUUUCUGAAAUGUUAUUAUCGGCAGGGUAAAAAUUCAUUUAGUCCAUGUAUUUAAUAUUAGUGUUCAUUUAGUCCCUAUAUUUUUAAAAAUACUCUGAAACAUCCAUGCCGUUAAAGUAUUGAUAUCCCUACCGUUACUUUUUAUUUCUUUUGAUUUACUUUUACAAUAUUA
rnacentral:lncRNA from 1 species